rnacentral:rRNA from 1 species
AGAGUUUGAUCCUGGCUCAGGACGAACUUCUGGCGGCGUGCCUAAUACAUGCAAGUCGAGCGAACAGAUUUGAAAAGCUUGCUUUUCAAUGACGUUAGCGGCGGACGGGUGAGUAACACGUGGGCAACCUGCCCUUUAGUUUGGGAUAACUUCGGGAAACCGGAGCUAAUACCGAAUAAUACUUUUAGCUUCAUGGCUUUAAGUUGAAAGACGGUUUCGGCUGUCGCUAAAGGAUGGGCCCGCGGUGCAUUAGCUAGUUGGUAGGGUAACGGCCUACCAAGGCAACGAUGCAUAGCCGACCUGAGAGGGUGAUCGGCCACACUGGGACUGAGACACGGCCCAGACUCCCACGGGAGGCAGCAGUAGGGAAUCUUCCACAAUGGGCGAAAGCCUGAUGGAGCAACGCCGCGUGAGUGAAGAAGGAUUUCGGUUCGUAAAACUCUGUUGCAAGGGAAGAACGAGUAGCGUAGUAACUGGCGCUACCUUGACGGUACCUCGUUAGAAAGCCACGGCUAACUACGUGCCAGCAGCCGCGGUAAUACGUAGGUGGCAAGCGUUGCCCGGAAUUAUUGGGCGUAAAGCGCGCGCAGGUGGUUUCUUAAGUCUGAUGUGAAAGCCCCCGGCUCAACCGGGGAGGGUCAUUGGAAACUGGGAGACUUGAGUGCAGAAGAGGAAAGUGGAAUUCCAAGUGUAGCGGUGAAAUGCGUAGAGAUUUGGAGGAACACCAGUGGCGAAGGCGACUUUCUGGUCUGUAACUGACACUGAGGCGCGAAAGCGUGGGGAGCAAACAGGAUUAGAUACCCUGGUAGUCCACGCCGUAAACGAUGA